AAAAUUGCUAGUACUACCUAUUAAUUCGUAUAGAAAGUCUUGCAAUAUGGCAGCAGUAUUGUAUGCAUAUAGAGCAUAAUUUUCCGCCGAACAGUCGCCAAAGGCUGGCUCCGCCCCUGCACGUCUUCAUUGUGUGUGGUGUUGUGAACCAACACCCCUCGGAUACCUAUUGCACCCGCUUUGGUUGUUGAACGACUUUGAUCUUACAUGUCAGAAUUAUAGAACAAGUUUGAUCAGCAAUUGGUGUGUAUUUGAGUUAUAUUUAUACAUACGUGUUAUACAAUAAAGAAGGAACUUAUUGGUAUCUUUAGGUUAAUUAUAGGAGCAUUCUGUAUAAACUGUGGGAAACAUCAUCGCGUUUGUAACGUUUUGUAUUUUAAGUGAUCAA
rnacentral:lncRNA from 1 species